AAAAAGGUUCCGGCCUCAGCCGGCGCACCUGGCGGAGGAGGAACCUCGCGACGCGCUCUCGGGCAUCGGUUUCUCCCAGCAAAGCUUGGAGGGUUUAGCUGCGCGGAGAGCUCAGCGAGCUCUUCUGUGUCUGUUUGGGGCGUGUGGGCUCCGGGAGCGUGAGGACCGGGAAGCUAGGAGGCUCCUUCCCUUCUGGCGGCUCCCUCACUGAGACCGGGCGGUUUGGUUGCGGGGGAAGUGGAGACGAGCCACCCUUGACCUUUGACUGCAAGAACUCACCUUGAGCAGGAUAGAGGCACGUGGACGGUGACCCUCGGGAUGCAAUAAAUGCUGAGACAGAUCAGGUGUGCAAGGCACAGAGCUAGAGGCCAGAGGCCUUUCUUCUCCAACCUUCAGUCACCUCUUUUUAAAGUGAAGCCAGCAUCCUCCUCGGGGUUUACUGUGAAAAUUAAGUGAGCUGACGCGUGCUGUGUUUUGAUGUUGCUUGGCUCCUAGAAACAUUGAGUGGGCCAGACACUGUUCUGAAAAAUACGCAGUCGACUUUUGAACAGCACAGGCUUGAACUGCAUGCGGCCACUAAUACUCGGACUUCCUUCUGCCUCUGCCAUCCCUAAGACAGCAAGACCCACCCCUCCUGCUCCUCAGCCUACUCGAUGUGAUGAUGGUGAGUAUGAAGACCUUUACUUUAUGAUGAUCCACUUCCAUUUAAUGGAUAGUAAAUAUAUUUUCUCUUCCUAUGAUUUUCUUAAUACCAUUUUCUUUUCUCUAGCUUACUUUAUUGAAAGAAUACAGUAUCUAAUACAUAUGACAUGCAAAAUCUGGCUUCCUUUUCCCUUCAAUGGAAUAACAUAUACAAACUCUACCUAAGAGUGCUGUGUGAAGUACAUGCCAGCCUACAAGACAUGUCUCUAACCAAGUCGAAAGAGUGCAGUAUUCGUUCAUUCACUCAUUCAUUCAUUCAACAAAUGUUUAUUAAUAGGUAUUAUAGAGUUUAAAACAAUGCAGCCACAGAGGCGGACAGCUUUCCGUGGAAAAGAGUAGAUCUUUCAUGGAUGGUUGAAGUUGACAGGCAGGCAUCCUGUCUUUUGGAAGCCAGGGAGGAACAGCCUCGAAUGGACAGGGUGAGGAAACUGAGGCCUGGGACCUGAUGUGAGUUGUUCAGGUGGCCAAGGGAGGAACUGAACACAGAUUUGUGUGACUCCAAAACCCAAGUAUUUGGGCUGUUUUUUUCUCCUUUUGGUUUGUCACUUAUAACUUGCCUGUCCCACAUGUGGCCAUGACUCUGACUUUCAGUUCACCUGUGUCCCUGUGCCCAAACCUUUGCUUUGUCAGCCUCCCCCAUUAGACUAUGAGGUGCUUGAGGACAGGGGAAGGUGUCACCUGUCUCCACAUUCCAUUGAAAAAACUGGAUAACACUGAAAGAGGUUGUGUGCUGCAAAGAGCACUGGGCUGGGAGUCUGAACCCUGCCGGCAGGUGAGGCUCCUUCUUUGCAGAGAUUCAGAGAGUCUAAGCAACUUUUCUAAAUCAUCUAGCUGGAAUUCAGUAACUGAGCCAGGAUCUACCCCAGGUCUGUCUGACUCCAAAGCCUGUGUCUUCCAGCACACACUGCUGCUGCCUGGGGAGGAAUGUGGAUAUGAUGUCUGGAGCUCUAGCAACCAUAUCAGACCACAAGGAUGAAUGUACACCCCAGGAAUGGAAGAGAGGAAAGCCAGAAAAAGACUCGGUCCCUGAUGGCUGAAGAGCUACCAUACCUGCCCCUAGAUCUUCUAUUUCUGAUCAUCUUCUAUGCAAGGGUGAGUGAACUCGUAUUGUGUUAACGUCACUGUGAUACUGGGUCUUGUUUCUUGCCAGUUGAAUGUGAUCCUAAGUGGUACAAUGGGUCAACUGAGAGGAAGAGAAUGAACUUGGGUUGGGAUUUGAAAGAUGGGUAGGACUGAGACAGGAAUGGGGGAAGAAGUUCCUUAUAGGUGCUGGGAACAGCAAGAGUGAGAAGUGUCCUUGAGGUGGCAUGUGGAGUAUAACAAGGAAGAUGUAGGAGCUAAGCAGGGUUAGAGCAGUGGUUUGUAAAGAGCUUUGGCUGCCAGGCAGUGAAGAUACAAUUUCAACUGUUAAGCACUGGGGAGCCAUAGAAGGUGUUUGAGCGGAUAAGUGAUGUGUUUGGUACUGGAUUUUGCCUUGAUGGAGAUCUGUAGGCGGAACUGAAGAGGAGGAAGCCUGGGCCAGAAAUGGGGCCCUGGGGGGUGGGAAUUGCUUGGAAAGGAGG
rnacentral:lncRNA from 1 species